GUGCUCGUUUUGGCAGCAUAUAUACUAAAAUUGGAACGAUACAGAGAAGAUUAGAAUGGCCCCUGGGCAAGUGUGACAUGCAAAUUCAUAAAGCAUUCCAUAUUCUU